UUUUAGUAGAGUCCGGGUUUCUCCAUGUUGGUCAGGCUGGUCUUGAACCCCCAGCCUCAGGUGAUCUGUCCACCUCAGCCUCCCAAAGUGCUGGGAUUACAGGCGUGAGCCACCGCGCCCGGCCUAUAUUCCCUUUUUAAUGUAAUGCUGUAUUAUAACAAUGUCUCCGUAUUAUUAGUCUUUACAAUUUUUGAUGACUGCCAUGCUAAGUGAAGAAAACGAGGCACAGAAAGACAAAUGCCACAUGCUCUUACUCAUAUGUGGAAUCUAGUAAGUUGAACUCAUUGAAGUAGAGAAUAGAAUGACAGUUACCAGAGGCUGUGGGGUGUCAGGGGAAAAGGGAGGGAAUGAGGAGUUGCUGAUCAAAAGGGCACAAAGUUUCAGAGGGCAGGAGGAAUAGGUUUCAGGAUCUAUUGUACAGCAGGGUGACUACCGUCCACAACAAUGCAUUACGUAUUUCGAAAUCAGAAGAGAACCAACUUUAAAUGUCUCAUCAUAAACAAUGACUGGGUAAUUUACAAAGAAAAAGAGGUUUAACAGACUCACAGUUCCAUGUGGCUGGGGAGGCCUCACAAUCAUGGUGGAAGAUGAAAGGCAUGUCUUACAUGGCAGCAGGCAAGAGAGAGAAUGAGAGCCAAGCAAUACGUGGUUCCUGGUAACCCUGCUGGGAGUGAGCGCUGCUGAAGCUGGUGGAGCUACACUCAGAGGGGUGGGAGACCUGACCCUCCGACCCUGACUGGGGAAUGGUGGCAGUGCCUCUCCUGGCUGGGGGACCACAGCUAUCUAUGAGUGUGACAGAAACAACAGUCACAGGACAACGGAAACCACAUGAUGAAGGCAACUCAGGGCCUGGGCUCUCCAGAAGGAGUCUCCUACCGGCCCCCCAAUUCCCCGAAACCAAGACCCAGAGGCAGCAUGGAAACGCUGGACAAGUCCAGCAGCCCAUAUUCUGAACUAGUCCCAAC
rnacentral:lncRNA from 10 species